CAACAGCAAGAUGAUGAAGACUUGAAUGUCAUCCCUCUGGAUUCAGUAGAAGCCCUAGAAAAUUUAGAAGAAAGGCUUCUGAGCAACGGACUGAAGCAAAGGAUGAUUAACAUGCUGUCACUAAGUGGUGGACAUACCAUGAAAAAGACAAUCUGGAGAAUUGCCAGCAAGGUGUUCACCCCCAACCUUGCGAAAAGCCUUAACUGGUGCGGCAGGGGAGACAAGCGAGGUCUAAAACAAACCGCAUGUGGACAAGUUAUUAUUGCUGCCGCGAUGAAAAAUCCAGUGCUGCCAGCGCCGA